rnacentral:lncRNA from 1 species
CUUUACACAAGAAAUUCUUCAAAGUCAACCAGCAUUCAUUUAUGACCUGUAAACUAUAAGAAAACAAUAUAAUAGUGAUUACAAAACUUCGAUUUUGAUCCAACUAAUUCUUGCCUAAGCGAAAGUUUUAAUCCUAAAGAAUGAUUUUGAACGAAAACAGAGAAGAUAUUUAUAUGUUGAAUUCUAUUAUGCUAAAAAAAAUAGUAAAGAAGUUGAGGGUUAGAAAAUCAAGCAUCCACCAAUCUAGACAUGCAAUCGAAUCAAGUUAGAUGAGCAUCAAUCAUAUUCUCUCAAUAG